rnacentral:misc_RNA from 1 species
AUCUCUCAACACAACAAGUUUAUUCUUGAUUGUGCUUGGAUGUUGAAGGCUGCCGGCGUCAUUGCCAGCUCCUUUUAAAUGUAUUAGCAGGACUAUGUAGGACCAGCUUCGGUUUGAUAAUACUUUUAUCUAUGCUGUCGCUGAGAAUCGUUUGUUCAGCUUCUAACUGUCCCCUUCUGUGGGACUGUCUCCUUGCUGAGGCAUAACCUUGACUCUGACCUCAA